AUUCUUUCAAAGAAUAAUUCAAUGAAGAUCGGUAAAAUGGUGAAUUUUUCGAUAGGUACAAGCAAACAAUAUGAUAGCAUUAUAAAUUUCAAUGUUCUACCAAGUUAACUAUUUACAAUUCGAAGAGUGGAAAUGUAUGCUGAUAUUUCGUGAACCUUCACGAAAUAAAUAGUAUUGCAUAAAAGAAUAUUUCACGACUGAAACUAUAGAAAAAUCAAUAAGCAGAUAAUCAACACUAAGUUUUUCCUAAUAUACGGAAUAUAUAUUCAAUCUAUGCAGAAGCAUCGCCACUUCCCUCAUCCCUGUAGAAGUAUAAGCAGGAUUGUGAAGAACAGAGAGAGAUGGGUUAGAUCUGGCCUUAUGAAAGAAAUUUUCGAGGAUACCGAUUCGAUUCCAGAGGAGUGGUAUUCCAGAAUCAAACCCAUGUCCUUUCCGAUGGAAACCAAACUGUUCCUGCAACCAACCCAGCCCGUGAUAUCGGACAUUAGUUAUAGCUGUGGUGAGUUUUAGAGCCCUUUGAUGCUAAUCAGACCCAUUUCUUCAAACUUCGGGUUCAUUCCAAAUGGACUGGGCCCAGUCGUCCCUAUCGGCCGCAUAGAAACGCUUCAGCUUUCCACUAUGGUACACCCGGUUCGACUCUCGGGUACCAACUCUUAAAAAUGUUUAUCAUGGUGUUCGGACCCGGUCGGUCGAUCCCCCACUUCCAAAUCUGCCUAAACAUUCCAACCUAUAACGGCUGCAGGGGUCAGCCACAGGGAUAGCCAGCCUAUGGAAAACACAAUUGCAAGGGUCUUCGAGGGAUUGGCAGCUUAUGAAUACGCUUAUUUCGCCUCAUUACUUGGUAUUCUAUUAGAAUUUAAAAAUAAAUUUCGGACAAAUUAAUGCCACUUUAAAGACUCA
rnacentral:lncRNA from 1 species